rnacentral:rRNA from 1 species
GUAGGUGGCAAGCGUUGUCCGGAAUUAUUGGGCGUAAAGCGCGCGCAGGCGGUUCUUUAAGUCUGAUGUGAAAGCCCACGGCUCAACCGUGGAGGGUCAUUGGAAACUGGAGAACUUGAGUACAGAAGAGGAAAGCGGAAUUCCACGUGUAGCGGUGAAAUGCGUAGAGAUGUGGAGGAACACCAGUGGCGAAGGCGGCUUUCUGGUCUGUAACUGACGCUGAGGCGCGAAAGCGUGGGGAGCAAACAGGGAUUAGAUACCCUGGUAGUCCACGCCGCAAACGAUGAGUGCUAAGUGUUAGGGGGGUUUUCCGCCCCCCUUAGUGCUGCAGCUAACGCAUUAAGCACUCCGCCUGGGAUACGGCCGCAAGGCUG